rnacentral:rRNA from 1 species
UGCGAACGCUGGCGGCAGGCCUAACACAUGCAAGUCGAACGGACCCUUCGGGGUUAGUGGCGGACGGGUGAGUAACACGUGGGAACGUGCCUUUAGGUUCGGAAUAGCUCCUGGAAACGGGUGGUAAUGCCGAAUGUGCCCUUCGGGGGAAAGAUUUAUCGCCUUUAGAGCGGCCCGCGUCUGAUUAGCUUGUUGGUGGGGUAAUGGCCCACCAAGGCUACGAUCAGUAGCUGGUCUGAGAGGAUGACCAGCCACAUUGGGACUGAGACACGGCCCAAACUCCUACGGGAGGCAGCAGUGGGGAAUCUUGCGCAAUGGGCGAGAGCCUGACGCAGCCAUGCCGCGUGUAUGAUGAAGGUCUUAGGAUUGUAAAAUACUUUCACCGGUGAAGAUAAUGACUGUAGCCGGAGAAGAAGCCCCGGCUAACUUCGUGCCAGCAGCCGCGGUAAUACGAAGGGGGCUAGCGUUGCUCGGAAUUACUGGGCGUAAAGGGAGCGUAGGCGGACAUUU